CCACCUGAAUCCAUUCCGAACUCAGAAGUGAAACACACCAGCGCCGAUGGUAGUGUGGGGUUUCCCCAUGCGAGAGUAGGUCACCGCCAGAC
rnacentral:rRNA from 1 species